GACGAACGCUGGCGGCGUGCCUAAUACAUGCAAGUCGAACGCAGUGGGGACGGGUGAGUAACACGUGGGUAACCUCCCCUCAGAGGGGAUAACACUUGGAAACAGGUGCUAAACCGAUACUGAUGGAUGGACCCGCGGUGCAUUAGCUAGUUGGUGAGGUAACGGCGCACCACGGCCACGAUGCAUAGCUGAGCUGAGAGGGUGAUCGGCAACACUGUGACUGAGACACGGCCCAGACUCCUACGGGAGGCAGCAGUAGGGAAUAUUCGGCAAUGGACGAAAGUCUGACCCAGCAACGCCGCGUGAGUGAAGAAGGUUUUCGGAUUGUAAAGCUCUGUUGUUAGAGAAGCGGUAUCUAACCAGAAAGCAACGGCUAACUACGUGCCAGCAGCCGCGGUAAUAC
rnacentral:rRNA from 1 species